AUGAGAAAGAUGAGCUGUUCCUCAUCUUUUGAAGACAGCCACCAGAGCUGCACAAACACAAAAAGCCAACCAAUUUCAGAAUGUUCCCACUCUCUCUCUCUCUCUCUUUCUUUCUCUCUCAACUCUCAAGAAAUGGCUUUUGAAUUAGUAGUAGCACUUUCUUGCCCCCACCAUCCCCUAACUUUUCCUUUUCACUUUUCUAUUCUCUCAUGA